AACAAUCUCCAGUGUCCCGAGAGAGGAGGGGACAGUGCAGCCAACACUGACUGGUGUCCCCAGAGAGGAAGGUAGAGUGUGGCUGGCUGUCCUUGUCCUGUGGUAGGAGGGGACAGUGUGAACAGUACUCCCCGGGCUCCUGGGAGAGGAGGGGACAGCGUGGCCAACACUACCCAAUGUCCCGUGAUAGGAGGUGACAGCGCAGUUGAAACUGCCCAGUGUUCCAUGACAGGAGGUGACAGCGUGGAAGACACUGCCUGGUAUCCACGAAGUGGAUGGGAGAGGGGGGACAGCAUGGCUAUCACUGUCCAGUUUUCCCAGAGAAGAGGGGACAGCCGGCUAACACUGUCCGGUGUCCUGGGAGAGGAGGGUACAGCGCUACUGACACUACACAGUGUCCUGUGACAGGAGAUGACAGCGUGGCUGACACUGACUUGUCCACAGAGAGGAGGGGAAAGUGCGGCCGACACUGUUCAGUGUCCUGGGAGAGGAGUGGCUGACACUGGCCACUGACCCGGAGAUGAGGAGACAGUGUGGCUGACACUUCCCGGGGUCUGCUAAGUGGAGGGGACAGCGCGGCCAACACUGUCUAGAGGGUAAUCCUCUUGGUUAUGAGUAUAUUAAGUUCUGUAUGUUAGAAGAUGCUCAGUCCCAAAUUUCUGUAAACCAGAAAGACUUGUAGAAUCCCCAACAUUGACCACCAAAACAUAAAUGAGAUAAAAGAGGGGGACAAAUGGGAAUGAGGAAUCUCACAGAAUGAACCGGCACAGCAUACCACUUGGUUCUGGGUGCGUGCUGGUUAUGUUUUAGAAGGUAUAAACUUCUGCCAUUGUAGAGCAAAAUGAGGCAGAGAAAACAGAAAACAGAAAACAACAACAACAAAAAAACAUAUUUGGUAUAUCUCCCAAAAUUAAGUUGAGUAUGUUGAAGGGUAUCUAGAAGUGGAAAAUAUAUCUAGGACAUGUAGUUGUAGAAAUAUGAAAGUCAAAAAAGGUAGAAACUUAAAAAUCAAGAGGUGGUAAAAUAUCGUAGUUAAGAUGGGAAAAGAGAAAAAAAUUUGAAAAUUUAAAGUCUGAUAUAAAAAUGAGGUAUACUGGAAAAAGGAAGAAAAAAAUAGGAGGAGUACCCUCUGGUCUAUAUACUAUAUAUAUAGUAUAUACUAUAUAUACUGGUCUAUAUACUAUAUAUCCCUCAGACUUCCCCUGGAGGUUUCCAGUGCUGCUUGGUCAAGAACUUGCUCUUCCUAUUGGGACUUAAUCAAGAUAAAAAGCUUCUGCACAGCAAAAGAAACAGUCAACAAAACUAAAAGACAACCUACAGAAUGGGAGAAGAUAUUUGCAAAUGACACAUCAGAUAAAGGGCUAGUUUCCAAGAUCUAUAAAGUGCUUCUUAAACUCAACAGCU
rnacentral:lncRNA from 12 species